rnacentral:rRNA from 1 species
AACGGGUGAGGAACACGUGAGGAAUCUGCCUUUCACUUCGGGAUAACUCCGGGAAACCGGGGCUAAUACCGGAUAUUUUCAACUGGCGGCAUCGCCGGUUGAAGAAAGUUUUUCGGUGAAAGAUGACCUCGCGGCCUAUCAGCUUGUUGGUGAGGUAAUGGCUCACCAAGGCAACGACGGGUAGCCGGCCUGAGAGGGCGACGGCCACACUGGGACUGAGACACGGCCCAGACUCCUACGGGAGGCAGCAGUGGGGAAUAUUGGGCAAUGGAGGAAACUCUGACCCAGCGACGCCGCGUGAGGGAUGAAGGCCUUCGGGUUGUAAACCUCUUUCAGCAGGGAAUAAGCGAAAGUGAAGGUACCUGCAGAAGAAGCACCGGCUAACUAUGUGCCAGCAGCCGCGGUAAUACAUAGGGUGCAAGCGUUGUCCGGAAUUAUUGGGCGUAAAGAGCUCGUAGGUGGUCGAUCACGUCGGAUGUGAAAAUCUGAGGCUUAACCUCAGACCUGCAUUCGAUACGGGUUGACUGGAGUGUGGUAGGGGAGACUGGAAUUCCUGGUGUAGCGGUGGAAUGCGCAGAUAUCAGGAGGAACACCGAUGGCGAAGCCAGGUCUCUGGGCCAUUACUGACACUGAGGAGCGAAAGCGUGGGGAGCGAACAGGAUUAGAUACCCUGGUAGUCCACGCCGUAAACGGUGGGCGCUAGUUGUGGGAACCUUCCACGGUUUCUGCGACGCAGCUAACGCAUUAAGCGCCCCGCCUGGGGAGUACGGUCGCAAGACUAAAACUCAAAGAAAUUGACGGGGCCCCGCACAAGCAGCGGAGCAUGCGGCUUAAUUCGACGCAACGCGAAGAACCUUACCAAGGCUUGACAUACACAGGAAUACGGCAGAGAUGUCGUAGCCGCAAGGUCUGUAUACAGGUGGUGCAUGGUUGUCGUCAGCUCGUGUCGUGAGAUGUUGGGUUAAGUCCCGCAACGAGCGCAACCCUCGUCCUGUGUUACCAGCAUUUAGUUGGGGACUCACAGGAGACUGCCGGGGUCAACUCGGAGGAAGGUGGGGAUGACGUCAAAUCAUCAUGCCCCUUAUGUCUUGGGCUGCACGCAUGCUACAAUGGCUGGUACAAAGGGCUGCGAUACCGCAAGGUGGAGCGAAUCCCAGAAAGCCAGUCUCAGUUCGGAUUGGGUCUCAAC